CCCUUAGAUGUCCUGGGCCGCACGCGUGCUACACUGACGCCUACAGCGAGUACUUCCCAGCCCCGAGAGGUGGCUGGUAAUCAGCAAUAGGCGUCGUGAUGGGAUAGAUCUUUGGAAUUAUGGAUCUUGAACGAGGAAUGCCUAGUAAGCGCAGGUCAUUAGCCUGCGCUGAUUAAGUCCCUGCCCUUUGUACACACCGCCCGUCGCUCCUACCGAUUUCGAGUGGUCCGGUGAAUCUUUCGGACUGCGCGCGGCCUCGUGCCGUGUCGCGGAAAGUCAGGUAAACCUUAUCACUUAGAGGAAGGAGAAGUCGUAACA
rnacentral:rRNA from 1 species